GCACUCUAAGCUCAGUUGGUAGAGCGCUCCACCUGUAAUGGAGAGGUCCCGGGUUCGAUACCCGGACCAGGCG
rnacentral:tRNA from 1 species